AUGGGAACAGAGGAUUGGCUGGGCUGGCUGGGGAUCGAAGCAGGCAAGAAGGCUUGCAGGAACGUCUCGCCUCUUUUCGUCUCCCACGAUUCGUAGCACCUUUCGCCAUUAACGGUCACUGCCUCGUCCGCAGCCGCGACCCACCGUCUCCCGGCCAAAGCUCUGCAAAACGUCCUCAUAAUCGCACCAUUUGUCACCAUCUAUUAUCCUUCCGGUGCUGAAGAAACGACAACAUUUCACUAAUCCUUCUCCACCUUGCCAUUGAAAAAUGUGUAUGUAUGUCCAUCGGAUUCCAAUACAUUGGUUUGGUCGCGUCUUCCUGUCCGACGCUGGCCUCUCUGAAGCAUGGAAGGUGCUCGACGUAUUGUUUGCAAAGACUGUUGCUGCAAAUUUGGUGCUCUAUUGCUUGAUAAGACUUUUGGAAUAGAGAUGUGUAACAUUUUUUGUCAAGGAGCCGCCAUGGUCAAGCACCUCGCAUCAAUCUUCGGCACACAUGGAGAACGAACAAAAAAUUGGCAUUAUCUUCUUUCUUUUUGCAUGUUUCUCUUUGCUUCAGUACCAUGCCAAAUCCAUCAUAUAUUAUUUGCAUCUCUAUGAUAAUCACUCUGCCAUCUACAUUCGUCAUCCUAGGCAGACCAUGCAACUGCAAUCCAGAAUUAAUCUCUUUAAGGCAGGUUAUAUAUGUUUGCUUCCAUAAUCUCCGGAGUACUUCUAAAAUCUUAUAGUGUAUACGAUGCCCAUUCUACAACUAUACUCAUUACAAUGUAUAACUUUAGGCAGAAAAUGCAGCCAAAGAAAUCCUUUGGAUUGGAUGCUCAGAAACUCCCUUGAUAAGAAAUUGAGUAACAUCCAUUUAAAUGGUGAUGUAAUAUCCCUUUAUAUAACAACAAGAAUCAGAUUGUAUUCCUUUUAUAUCAAAGUAGAGAUAAAACUUUCGUGCAAGUUUCUUCAAACUCUGAUACAUGGAGCGACAACAAAGGAAGAAAUGUAGUACCGAAUAAACCGUACAAUUAUUUUAACUUGCAUAUUGCUACCUUCAUGUACUGUGUUUUUUCUCAAGCAUGCCAAUGAGGCCCAACAGAAUUGUGCUCUCACCUUUCCUUCAUUCAUCAGCAGAGAGAAGCUAACAAAAAAAAUAGCGAGGUGAUUCAAAAAGUCAGUACUAUAUAUGAAACGACCAAUGCAUCUAACCUUACAUGAUGGUAGCCAAGACCUAUCUUCGCGUGCAGACACAGAGACACUACAAGCAUGCUUGGUUCUGACAAUCAUCAUCGGUUCUUCACAAUUCAGUACAAAAGAAAUGGAAAAUGACAUGCCACAACAAUCCUUUAUGAUGAAAAAACAAGCUACAAAUAUGGUGAAUAACUGUUCGAGCACUUGUCAAAUACUAAAAUCAGGUUGAGCAGCAUCUUCUAGUAUGGGAGACAAGAGCUAAUGUCAUAGUAACUGAUGUUGUCCACGGGGCGGUGCUACUCCACUCGAAGAGGAAGAGGAAAACCAAGAGAGGCGUGAAGCGGAUGUGGUAGG